CUGCUGCUUACUGAGUAUUCACUGAGUGGCCCAUAUGACACUUCUGUCUUCUUUCCUGAGUGGUUAUGGUUCAUGUAGAGUAUGUUCUUGGUAGCUGAAGCAGCAAGAAAACAGAGCUUCGUUAUUCUGGAUUUUGAAAAGUUCAUAAAAGAACAGACAUUGAAGUAUCUUCAAAAACAACACUGUACAAGGUACUAGAGUGCCCAGAGAUGCCCAUGGUACCAGGUGCUGAACUUCAGUAGUCUGCAAAUCCUCAUGAAUGACCAUCCAAAUGAUCAAUCUUCAUGAUCCAUUCCGUGGCGAGCUGGGAAAAAAAAUGCAGUUGCUAAUCAAUGUCUGAACAGUCUGAAGCUCC